rnacentral:rRNA from 1 species
UACGAAGGGGGCUAGCGUUGUUCGGAAUCACUGGGCGUAAAGGGCGCGUAGGCGGCCGCUCAAGUCGGGGGUGAAAGCCUGUGGCUUAACCACAGAAUUGCCUUCGAUACUGUUUGGCUUGAGACCGGAAGAGGUGAGUGGAACUGCGAGUGUAGAGGUGAAAUUCGUAGAUAUUCGCAAGAACCCCAGUGGCGAAGGCGGCUCACUGGCCCGGAACUGACGCUGAGGUGCGAAAGCGUGGGGAGCAAACAGG